rnacentral:rRNA from 1 species
GACGAACGCUGGCGGCGUGCUUAACACAUGCAAGUCGAACGAAGCUUGAUUACGGAUUCUUCGGAUGAAGUAUGAUAUGACUGAGUGGCGGACGGGUGAGUAACGCGUGAGUAACCUGCCCUUCAGAGGGGGAUAGCGUUUGGAAACGAACGGUAAUACCGCAUAAUGUAUUUUGACCGCAUGAUCGAAAUACCAAAGAUUUAUCGCUGAAGGAUGGACUCGCGUCUGAUUAGGUAGUUGGUGGGGUAACGGCCUACCAAGCCGACGAUCAGUAGCCGGACUGAGAGGUUGAUCGGCCACAUGGGGACUGAGACACGGCCCAGACUCCUACGGGAGGCAGCAGUGGGGAAUAUUGCACAAUGGGCGCAAGCCUGAUGCAGCAACGCCGCGUGAAGGAAGACGGUUUUCGGAUUGUAAACUUCUGUUCUUAGGGAAGAAUAAUGACGGUAGCUAAGGAGCAAGCCACGGCUAACUACGUG